rnacentral:rRNA from 1 species
CCCUUAGAUGUUCUGGGCCGCACGCGCGCUACACUGAUACGUUCAGCGAGUAUAUAACCUUGAUUGGAAAAUCUGGGUAAUCUUUUGAAUGCGUAUCGUGCUAGGGAUAGAUUAUUGCAAUUAUUAAUCUUGAACGAGGAAUUCCUAGUAAACGCAAAUCAUCAAUUUGCAUUGAUUACGUCCCUGCCCUUUGUACACACCGCCCGUCGCACCUACCGAUUGAAUGGUCCGGUGAAGCCUCGGGAUUGUGGCCAGUUCACUUUAUUGGGAGUUGGCUGCGAGAACUUGUCUAAACCUUAUCAUUUAGAGGAAGGUGAAGUCGUAACA